ensembl:lncRNA LINC02229 long intergenic non-protein coding RNA 2229
AGUCAUAUGUCCACACCUAGAUGCAGAGGGUGCUGGGAGACACAGUUCCUGGCCAGACAGCUGCUUCCCAGUGACAAAUCUACUUUAUAUCAAGAGUGAAAUCAUCCAGAAUAGAGUGAAUUCGGGCUUCAGAGCGGCUGUUUAGGAUUCAGAGCUCUACCAACAUGAGCAAUCUGUUGGCAUGACAGGUCAGAGAAGCCGUGAAGGACAUGGAAGGAAGUAGAUGGAACUGGAAACAGGAGGCCAACCCCAGCAGUCAGUGGUGCUCAGAAAAAAAUAAGACACUGAAAUUUGAGGACUUAAUGGAGUUUGGUGCCUUCAGUUAGCUGAUGUCUAUGAAGCCUGACCAGUCUACUUCUAGUCUAUAAGAUCAUGUGGAAGCUUCAGUGACAAACUUCUACUUUACUAAUGAUUUUAUGAUCCUGUUACCCAUUGCAAUUGCUUAAAUGGUAUUUUAAUUAGCUGCUUUAAAUGACUUUGCUUUUUUACAAAAAGCAGUGUGUGCUUUAGUUUAAAAUAUGGGUCACUGGUGUUUCUUUCUAGAAGAUGACUGUGUUUAGUACCAGGGAAAAUUGGUGAUGUAUUUGGAGAGGUUUUAACUUCUGUAACUCAGGUUGAUAUCUGGAAUGUGAGUGUUUCCAUACUUCCGUGGAUGCAGCAAAUUUAUAUAAAGCGUUAUUAAAUUUGUUCUAGUUUUUAAAUACUGUUAAUUCUUUCAUGGGCUUUCUAUAUUGCCAGUUUUUUUUUAUGGUAUCUGCAACAAGUCAAUAAGCUGUGUUUAUGUUUGUAUACUGUUUUAGAAAGGAGGAUUGACCCAGAACAUUAUGUGCUAGGAGAAAUAAAAAGACUCUGCUAUGGAUACAGA